rnacentral:rRNA from 1 species
AGAGACAGCAGCCGCCGCGGUAAUACGUAGGUCCCGAGCGUUGUCCGGAUUUAUUGGGCGUAAAGCGAGCGCAGGCGGUUAGAUAAGUCUGAAGUUAAAGGCUGUGGCUUAACCAUAGUACGCUUUGGAAACUGUUUAACUUGAGUGCAGAAGGGGAGAGUGGAAUUCCAUGUGUAGCGGUGAAAUGCGUAGAUAUAUGGAGGAACACCGGUGGCGAAAGCGGCUCUCUGGUCUGUAACUGACGCUGAGGCUCGAAAGCGUGGGGAGCAAACAGGAUUAGAUACCCCCGUAGUCCCUGUCUCUUAUACA